rnacentral:rRNA from 1 species
GACGAACGCUGGCGGCGUGCUUAACACAUGCAAGUCGAACGGAAAGGCUCCAGCUUGCUGGAGUGCUCGAGUGGCGAACGGGUGAGUAACACGUGGGCAAUCUGCCCUGCACUCUGGGAUAAGCCUGGGAAACUGGGUCUAAUACCGGAUAGGACCUUUCUCCUCAUGGGGUUUGUUGGAAAGUUUUUCGGUGCAGGAUGAGCCCGCGGCCUAUCAGCUUGUUGGUGGGGUAAUGGCCUACCAAGGCGACGACGGGUAGCCGGCCUGAGAGGGUGAUCGGCCACAUUGGGACUGAGAUACGGCCCAGACUCCUACGGGAGGCAGCAGUGGGGAAUAUUGCACAAUGGGCGAAAGCCUGAUGCAGCGACGCCGCGUGAGGGAUGACGGCCUUCGGGUUGUAAACCUCUUUCAGUAGGGACGAAGCGCAAGUGACGGUACCUGCAGAAGAAGCACCGGCUAACUACGUG